GCACCACAAGGCGUGAAGCGUGCGGUUUAAUUGGAGUCAACACCGGAAACCUUACCGGGGGCGACAGCAGGUUGAAGGCCAGAUUGACGAUCUUGCCAGACAAGCUGAGAGGAGGUGCAUGGCCGUCGCCAGUUCGUGCCGUGAGGUGUCCUGUUAAGUCAGGCAACGAUCGAGACCCACGUUCCCUGUUGCUACCAAAGAAAGUUUCCAAGGGGCACACUGGGAGGACAGCCGCCGAUAAGGCGGAGGAAGGAGUGGGCCACGGCAGGUCAGUAUGCCCCGAAUCCCCCGGGCCACACGCGUGCUGCAAUGGCCGGUACAAUGGGUUCCGACCUCGUGAGAGGAGGGUAAUCCCUAUUUUCGAUCGUAGUUUGGAUCGAGGGCUGCAGGGGGGCCCUCGUGAAACUGGAAUGCCUAGUAAUCGCGUGUCAUUAACGCGCGGUGAAUACGUCCCUGCUCCUUGCAUACACCGCCCGUCGUUCCACUCGAGUGGGUUUUGGGUGAGGCGCGGUCCUUGGUGGCUGUGUCGAGCCUGAGGUUCGCGAGAAGGGGA
rnacentral:rRNA from 1 species